rnacentral:rRNA from 1 species
UACGGAGGGGGCGAGCGUUAUUCGGAAUUAUUGGGCGUAAAGGGCGCGUAGGCGGCUAGACAAGUCAAAGGUGAAAUCCCUCGGCUCAACUGAGGAACUGCCUUUGAAACUGCAUAGCUUGAGUCCGGGAGGGGGUAGCGGAAUUCCCAGUGUAGCGGUGAAAUGCGUAGAUAUCGGAAGGAACACCAGUGGCGAAAGCGGCUUCCUGGUCCAGCACCGACGUUCAGGCACGAAAGCGUGGGGAGCAAACAGG